rnacentral:rRNA from 1 species
GGAAUAUUGCACAAUGGGCGAAAGCCUGAUGCAGCGACGCCGCGUGGAGGAUGAAGGUCUUCGGAUUGUAAACUCCUGUUAAAUGGGAAAAAAGAGCUCUUCUGAAUAAGAAGAGAAGAUGAUUGUACUAUUAAAGAAAGCACCGGCUAACUUCGUGCCAGCAGCCGCGGUAAUACGAGGGGUGCAAGCGUUAUUCGGAUUUAUUGGGCGUAAAGGGUGUGUAGGCGGUUUUUUAAGUCAUUUAUUAAAUACCUUGGCUUAACCAAGGAAAUGUGGGUGAAACUAGAAGACUAGAGUGUGGAAGAGAGAAGUGGAAUUCUCGGAGUAGCGGUAAAAUGCGUAGAUCUCGAGAGGAACACCGAUGGCGAAGGCAGCUUCUUGGUCCAUUACUGACGCUGAAACACGAAAGCGUGGGGAGCAAACA